rnacentral:rRNA from 1 species
GACGAACGCUGGCGGCGUGCUUAACACAUGCAAGUCGAACGGUAAGGCUCCAGCUUGCUGGGGUGCACGAGUGGCGAACGGGUGAUUAACACUUGGUUGACCUGCCCUGCACUUCGGGAUAAUCCUGGGAAACUGGGUCUAAUACCGGAUAGUACCAUGGUGUGGAUACUGUGGUGGACAGUUUUUUCGGUGUGUGAUGGGCCCGCGGCCUAUCAGCUUGUUGGUGGGGUAAUGGCCUACCAAGGCCGCGACGGGUAGACGGCCUGAGAGGGUGGAAGGACAAAUUGGGAUUGAGACGAGGCACAGACUACUACGGGAGGCAGGAGUGGGGAAGAUUGCACAAUGGGAGGAAGGCUGAUGCAGCGACGCCGCGUGGGGGAUGACGGCCUGGGGGUUGGAAACUCCUUUCACCAUGGACGAAGGGUUUCUGACGGUAGAGGGAGAAGAAGCACCGGCUAACUACGUG